AGCUUUGCGCAGUGGCAGUAUCGUAGCCAAUGAGGUUUAUCCGAGGCGCGAUUAUUGCUAAUUGAAAAAUGUGCACUCAAAAACACUAUUUUUAAUUCCUUGUAAUACAGAGAAUUUUUAACAGUGUUUCUAUAAGACA